GGGAAUUGGACAGAUCUGACGGAGAUUCGACCGCGUGAGCGAUGAAGGCCUUCGGGUCGUAAAGCUCUGUUGUUAGGGAAGAACAAGUACCAUAGUAACUGCUCGUACCUUGGCCGUACCUAACCAGAAAGCCACGGCUAACUACCUGCCCACAGCCGCGGUAAUACCUAAGUGGCAAGCGUUUUCCGGAAUUAUUGGGCGUAAAGCGCGCGCAAGCGGUUUCUUAAGUCUGAUGUGAAAGCCCCCCGCUCAACCGUGGAAGGUCAUUGGAAACUGGGGAACUUGAGUGCAAAAAAAGAAAGCGGAAUUCCCCGUGUAGCGGUGAAAUGCCUAAAGAUGUGGAAGAACCCCCGUGGCCAAAGCCGCUUUUUGGUCUGUAACUGAAGCUGAAGCGCCAAAGCGUGGGGAGCCAACAGGAUUAAAUACCCUGGUAGUCCACGCCCUAAAC
rnacentral:rRNA from 1 species